AAUGAUCUCAUUUUUCGUUUUUCCGUGUCCAACGUUUAACCAUUUGUCUUAUUUGAAAUUUUUCUGUAAUUAAUAUUUUUAUUAUUACUAGAUGAUAAAAUAUAUAAAUAGUACUUUAUACGUGACUAAUUUUUUUAAGUUUUUAUAUAAAAUUUUCAAAUAAGACAAAUUAGUAGAUUUUAUACCUCCGUUUGAA
rnacentral:pre_miRNA from 1 species